CCCUUAGAUGUCCUGGGCCGCACGCGCGCUACACUGAUACGGGCAACAAGUUUAUUUCCUUCACCGGAAGGUGUGGGCAAUCUUAAAAACCGUAUCGUGAUGGGGAUCGACCUUUGUAAUUUUCGGUCGUGAACGAGGAAUCCCUAGUAAGCGUGAGUCAUCAGCUCGCGUUGAUUACGUCCCUGCCCUUUGUACACACCGCCCGUCGCUACUACCGAUUGGAUGGUUUAGUGAGGUCUUCGGACCGGCGCUUGCUGUGGCAACACACGGGUGCUGGAAAGUUGCUCAAACUUGAUCAUCUAGAGGAAGUAAAANUCGUAACA
rnacentral:rRNA from 1 species